AGUGAACGCUCUCUUUCUUCCUAACACAUGCAAGUCGAACGGCAGCACAGUAAGAGCUUGCUCUUACGGGUGGCGAGUGGCGGACGGGUGAGGAAUACAUCGGAAUCUACUUUUUCGUGGGGGAUAACGUAGGGAAACUUACGCUAAUACCGCAUACGACCUACGGGUGAAAGCAGGGGAUCUUCGGACCUUGCGCGACUGAAUGAGCCGAUGUCGGAUUAGCUAGUUGGCGGGGCAAAGGCCCACCAAGGCGACGAUCUGUAUCUGGUCUGAGAGGAUGAUCAGCCACACUGGAACUAAGACACGGUCCUGACUCCUACGGGAGACAGCAGUGGGGAAUAUUAGACAAUGGGCGCAAGCCUGAUCCAGCCAUACCGCGUGGGUGAAGAAGGCCUUCGGGUUGUAAAGGACUUGUGUUGGGAAAGAAAAGCAGCAGGUUAAUACCCCGCUGUUCUGACGGUACCCAAAGAAUAAGCAAAGGCUAAAUUCGGG
rnacentral:rRNA from 1 species